GACGAACGCUGGCGGCGUGCUUAACACAUGCAAGUCGAACGAAGAGCGAUGGAAGCUUGCUUCUCUCAAUCUUAGUGGCGAACGGGUGAGUAACGCGUAAUCAACCUGCCCUUCAGAGGGGGACAACAGUUGGAAACGACUGCUAAUACCGCAUACGAUCUAAUCUCGGCAUCGAGGAUAGAUGAAAGGUGGCCUCUACAUGUAAGCUAUCACUGAAGGAGGGGAUUGCGUCUGAUUAGCUAGUUGGAGGGGUAACGGCCCACCAAGGCGAUGAUCAGUAGCCGGUCUGAGAGGAUGAACGGCCACAUUGGGACUGAGACACGGCCCAGACUCCUACGGGAGGCAGCAGUGGGGAAUCUUCCGCAAUGGACGAAAGUCUGACGGAGCAACGCCGCGUGAGUGAUGACGGCCUUCGGGUUGUAAAGCUCGGUUAAUCGGGACGAAAGGCCUUCUUGCGAAUAGGGAGAAGGAUUGACGGUACCGGAAUAGAAAGCCACGGCUAACUACGUG
rnacentral:rRNA from 1 species